GAUGAACGCUGGCGGCGUGCCUAAUACAUGCAAGUCGAGCGAACAGACGAGGAGCUUGCUCCUCUGACGUUAGCGGCGGACGGGUGAGUAACACGUGGAUAACCUACCUAUAAGACUGGGAUAACUUCGGGAAACCGGAGCUAAUAACGGAUAAUAUAUUGAACCGCAUGGUUCAAUAGUGAAAGACGGUUUUGCUGUCACUUAUAGAUGGAUCCGCGCCGCAUUAGCUAGUUGGUAAGGUAACGGCUUACCAAGGCAACGAUGCGUAGCCGACCUGAGAGGGUGGUCGGCCACACUGGAACGGAGACACGGUCCAGACUCCUACGGGAGGCAGCAGUAGGGAAUCUUCCGCAAUGGGCGAAAGCCUGACGGAGCAACGCCGCGUGGGUGGUGAAGGUCUUCGGAUCGUAAAACUCUGUUAUUAGGGAAGAACAAAUGUGUAAUUAACUAUGCACGUCUUGACGGUACCUAAUCAAAAAGCCACGGCUAACUACGUG
rnacentral:rRNA from 1 species